GCCACGGUGGUCUAGCGGUUAGAACGCUGGCCUUGUAAUCCUGGGGUCUCGGGUUCGAUUCCCGGAGGUGCCC
rfam:Zootermopsis nevadensis contig7477, whole genome shotgun sequence.